UAUAUCUAAAAAGAUAAGCUAACAAAGCUAAUGGGUUCAUACCCCGUAUAUAAAGGUUUAAAUCCUUUU
rnacentral:tRNA from 1 species